AGCUUGCUCUUAUGAAGUUAGCGGCGGACGGGUGAGUAACACGUGGGUAACCUGCCCAUAAGACUGGGAUAACUCCGGGAAACCGGGGCUAAUACCGGAUAACAUUUUGAACCGCAUGGUUCGAAAUUGAAAGGCGGCUUCGGCUGUCACUUAUGGAUGGACCCGCGUCGCAUUAGCUAGUUGGUGAGGUAACGGCUCACCAAGGCAACGAUGCGUAGCCGACCUGAGAGGGUGAUCGGCCACACUGGGACUGAGACACGGCCCAGACUCCUACGGGAGGCAGCAGUAGGGAAUCUUCCGCAAUGGACGAAAGUCUGACGGAGCAACGCCGCGUGAGUGAUGAAGGCUUUCGGGUCGUAAAACUCUGUUGUUAGGGAAGAACAAGUGCUAGUUGAAUAAGCUGGCACCUUGACGGUACCUAACCAGAAAGCCACGGCUAACUACGUGCCAGCAGCCGCGGUAAUACGUAGGUGGCAAGCGUUAUCCGGAAUUAUUGGGCGUAAAGCGCGCGCAGGUGGUUUCUUAAGUCUGAUGUGAAAGCCCACGGCUCAACCGUGGAGGGUCAUUGGAAACUGGGAGACUUGAGUGCAGAAGAGGAAAGUGGAAUUCCAUGUGUAGCGGUGAUAUGCGUAGAGAUAUGGAGGAACACCAGUG
rnacentral:rRNA from 1 species